GUUGGAUUUGGGUGUUAGGAGGGACAUACUUGAUUGGAUUUGGAAGGAGCAUACUAUUUGUUAUUGGAUGUUAGGAGGGACAUACUUGAUUGGAUUUGGAAGGUUCUUCGAUGUUUAGGGUU